UCAGAAACCCAUUAUACAGAGUCAGCCAAAAUAAUGUUUACACACAUCAGGAAAAGAAAAACUUGCAUAAAUAUUUCAAUACCAAAUUUAUUCAGACAUCACGAGAUUAAUAAAAGUUAUCUUUGGCCUCUACAAUUACAAGAGGUGCUUAAAGUGGUGGCCACUGGCUUCCAGACAUUUCUGUUGUGUUGUAGACGUCACUUGUUGAUGCUCCAUUCAUGAGGGUAGCGCCAUCUGUUGGGAAAACAUCGUACAACAGGACACAGAGGUAUUGUGAUUUGAUCAAAUUUAGAAAGAGGUAUCUAUAUGUGUACAAGUACUUAUACAUAUGAAAUAUUUAUAAAAGUUUUUCUUUUCCUGAUGUGUGUACAUUAUUUUGGCUGACUCUGAACUUAAUGAGAACAAAACUGUCAUUUAAUUGUUGCUCUGAAAGCUUCUUUAGUGAAAACCAGCUGGUGUUCUGCUUUGAAACAAACUGCUGUUGAGGUCUGUGUUUUUAGGUUUAACCCCACAGUUUCUGAAUGAACUGAUAGUUCAUCAUUCAUCAUCAGUAUAACAUUCUGACCACCUGACUAAUACUGUGUUGGUCCCUUUAUGCUGCUAAAACUCCUCUGACCCAGUGGUUCGUCAGAACCUCUGGGGAUGUCCUGUGGAUUCUGUGGAUCCUGUGGGUUGCAGGGUGGGUCCUACCUAGACCAGGCUGAUCCUGGACCAUCCCACAGAUGCUCCAUCAGAUCUGGAUGUGGGGAGUGUGGAACCCAGAUGUUCAGAGGGAGAUGAUGCCACAUCUGGUCCAGCUGAUGGAAGGUCUUGAAGUUCUCUGACUGGCCUCGACUGAAGAUGGUCGUCUCACUGGAUUUAAGGUUCAGAUGCUCAGUAACAAACUCCACCAAUGUGCCAACAGGGAAGCUUUAGGUUUAUUAAAUGUUGCUAUGAAGGUUUCGCUGUUUUUCUUUGUGAAUGCAAUGUGCUCCAACUGAAACUUGAAUUAGAACUUAGAAGUAAAUCCUUCCAUCUGAAAGGAUUUAGUUGCAUUAAUAACCUCAUAACAUUCUAACUUUUAUUCCAGUCUUGGUUGAAAAUAGAAUCUCUGUAUUGAUUCAGGUAAAAACUGAACUUCACAGCAUGUUGGAGCAAAACAACCAGAUGAAAACUGUGAUGGUGUUGGAUUGUCAGACCGUAAUGUUGCAGCUCAAAGCAGCUUUUCUAUCUCAGUUCAUUCUGACAUUCAGCUAUGAAUCAACACAGCAGAUGGUGAUCCAUGCUGUGGAAGUCUCACAUCUCCUGAUUUAAUGGAGCUGCUUUGCACUUUUUACACUGUUUAUUCACCAACACUUUAUUUAAUAAAAGUCCCAUCUUGUUUUUAUGAGGAAUGUGAUGUUUUAAUUUCUCUGUGAAUAACUGCAGUCUAAUGCAACAGCUGGAAUUGUAACAUCUGUCCUGAUAUUGAUCAUGAAGUAUUGAUCAGAAUACUUAUGGUUAGCAGUCAUCCCUGAAGUUUUACAUUAAAAUCUUUACUUGUGUUGUGAACUUUGGUAAGAAGCAGAAACGUUAGCGUUGCCAUGGAUACAUGAGUGUUGAAUUCUGUCCAUGUUUCCAUUUUGGGAAAUUCAGUCCAGUUCCAGAAUGUGGAGGAAUUUAGUCUCACAAUCACAGACAACAAAUAUUAUCUGAAAGUCGGGUUAUUGUUGUUUAUCAGCACAAUACAAAAAGAUUAAUGUUAGAAAUAUUCCAGUUCAGACUCUAGAAUAUCAUGAUUUAUGCAAAUUUACCUCAAUAAUAUGAAUGUUCAGGUUAAGAUUGUACAGUGAUAUUUAUUAUGUAAGUUUAGCUGAUUAAAGUUUAUGACUCUGCACUAAAAUAUUAUUUAAAUUGACAUCAUUAUUAUAAUAUUUAGGGUCAGACCCUACAGUAUUGAGAUUAAGAAAUCAAAUAUUCUAUAAAAUGUAAAUACACUGAACUCAUUUGGAUAUAUUUGAGACUCUACAAUAUUAUUUGACACAAAUCUAAAUCAAAAUUUUAAUAAUUUUUACUCCAAACAUUUACUGGACUGAUUUAAAUAUCAAAAUCACUCCUUUCUAAUCCUCUGCUUUACGUUCAAACCUGAGGCCUUAAAUAGAAACACACAAGUAUCUGAUUGAAGGAACUUCUGCAGAGUCCUGGUUCCAGAACAUGAUGAUAGAAUUAUAGACAAACUUUAACAAAAGCUGCCUGAGAGUUUACAGGUUUUUAUGUUAGAUUUCUUCAGUAAUUUAAUGAGAGUUAUCAGCAAAAAUCAAGUGUUCAUUUGAUGAACUUCAUUUCCUAAAACAUCCAGAAUUGGAGCUCAUAUCUUUGGCAGCUGUAAAGUUUCUGCUCCUUCAAAGUUCACAACACAAUGAAUGAAUUCCUAAAACACUCUCAAUGCUGGAGAGUGUUUGUGAUGCUGAAGCAGUGACCAGUUUUUCUGUUUCUUCUCUGGAGAUGCACAGUGAGGGACGUCUGCAGAGACUGAGAAAGAGUCUCACCACAUCCUGACAUGAGGAAAAAGACUUUAUUGAAGACUACAAUGAGAAAAACUAUCAGACAGCAGACGGCUGCAUUCAAGUCUGUAGCUGCUGAAUUCAUGGAUGAAUCAUCUGGCACUAGAGAAGAAGACCAUCAAACAUCCACGUCAGCUGAUGGAGGUCCAAGAGUCUCACCGAACAACCAACCUGCAGAGUGAAGACCUCAAAUCUGAUUGGACGGCCUCCUAUUCAGCCACAUCUGUUAACAGUUUAGGCUGUUAGAUUGUUCCAGAUAAGACAAGUACAAGAUUCUUCAGAGCCGUUCUACCACGAGCCUGACAGGAAGAACUCCAACAGCUACUGAAUGUUCCUGUGGUUCCCUCAAGGCUACAGGAGGAGUCCUACGAGGACGAGCUGGUCCACCUGAUGGUGGCCAGUCGCUGCGGUUCAAAGCCAACACCGACUACGUGGACUUCUACUGGACCACAUGGAGGCCUUCAAACCAGACCAACAAGUUCAGCGACUCCCCGACUCGUGGGUCUGAGGACGCCGCCGAGCCUCGGCCCAGCCGGCCUCCUGUCUGUGGGUGUUUGAGUGCUGAGAGGUUUGUGGAUGCAUGUGAACAUGUCUGUGUUGAAACAGCAGCUUUGGACUCAGUAACGCCAGGAAAAACCAAGAGCUCCUUUGUGACUUCCACUAAAAGACUGAUGAAAAUAAGUUUGCCAGGGUUCUGACUGAUAACAGAUUAUUAAAUAAUGAAAAUAAUCGUUUAAAUAUUCCUUUAAACAAUCCUUUUAGGUCUACAUUUCCUUUACACUGACUUCUUGGUAUAUGCACAAGUAUUUUGGGUGGAAUAUACCAAUAACCCAAUGUUCAAGGGUUCUUCUGGGAAUAUACCAUUAAACCAACCUUUUAGAUAAAUGUUCCAGGAUGUUAGGUAGAAUAUACCAUCAGAUAAACCUUUUAGGUCUACAUUGGAAGAUUUUAGAGUAGAAUAUUACUCCAAACCAUCCUUUAGGUCUACAUUUAAGGUGGAAUACUCCUUUACACCAAGAUUUUUUGGUCUUCAUUGAAGGAUUUUAGCUGGAAUAUUCCUUUGAACGAACUUUUUAAGUUUAUGUUAAAGGAUGUUGGGUGGAAUAUACCAUCAGACCAACCUCCAAGGUCUACAGCAGUGAAUUUUAGGUGGAAUAUACCAUUAAACUCACCUUUUAGGCCUACAUUGGAGGAUUUUAGGUGGAAUUUUCUUCCAAACCGUCUUUUAGUCUACAUUUAAGGAUGUUUAGGAUGGUAUAUUCUUCCAAACCAACUUCUCAGGUCUACAUUUCAGGUGGAAUAUUCCUCCAUACUAACUUUUUUGGUCUACAUUGAAGGAUUUUUUCUAAACCACCCUUCCGGGUCUAUAUUUGAGGUUUUAGGUGGAAUAUUCCUUUUAACCAGCCCCUCAGGUCUCUUUGAGGAUUUUGGAUGUAAUACUUGGUUAAACCAACAUUUUAGGUGCAUGUCCAAGGAUUUUUGGUGGAACAUUCCUUUAAGGUGGAUGUUUGAGGACCUUGUAGCUGGAAUACUUCCUGAAACCAACCCUUCAGGUCAACAUUCAAAGAUUUAAGGUGGAAUAUUCCUUUAAAUCAACCUAAAUUUCAUGUUUUGAUCAUUAUCAAGUGAGAAACCUCAAUCCAGACUCCUCAUAAUGGCGUUUGAGAUUUAUGCUGCUGUUAUUUGUUUAGUCCAGACUAAAUGACAGAAAUCCACAACUGUAAUUGUAUUUCAGGACUCGGUUAUUAAAUGUCAAAACAAUCCAUGUGACUUUAAAAACUCAACAGCUGUACAAACUCUAAGAUUAAACUCUCCACAAGGAUCCAAAUUAAGUUGGACUUCUGCAUGAGAGCUUUAAUUAUUCUUCAUCUACUUCCUGAAAAGUUUGGUCAAUAAAAAAGACAAAAACUAAUGUUUUCAGCUGAACUAAAAACAGACUUUGUGAUUUUUCUGCUCACAUGUUGUGUUGUUGUAAACUUACUCUUUCAAAUAAAUAUCUGCCUAACCCCCUGGAAA